GGCGUGCCUUACACAAGCAAAUACGGUAUCUUGCUUUCCCCUCUGAUCUGGCUCUUCCUAUUUCGGAUGAGCGAUUGAGAAUUGUUCAUUCCGCGGAGCUUAUGGGCUUGCUCGCAUAAUUUUCACUUUGGUUGCGGCAGGAUUAAUGAGCACGUGACAAGAACAGAUUCAAUUUGAAUGCAGAACGCAGAGCACUGGUUCCUUUUUGCUAUUUGUCCUCAACUAGUGGUUAACGUCUUUUCCAUUUUAUGUAUUCUGAUUUAUUCUUUCGGGCUACUCUAUUCUUGGCCAAUCCUCCAGAAGGGUAUGCGACAUUUCCACAUAGUGACAAUUAACCUACUCGGUCCUCGGAGCUCUGAACUCAACUUUUUACUUGUGAUGACUUAGAAUACCAGCUGUCAGCGCUUGCUGAGUGAUUAUUUUGUAACUAUAUGGCAAAAUUCCCUUUCACGAUGUUGGAGUUGAGGUGACUAGCGCCAGGGCAACUCUAGCCCCGUAUGCUACUAAAACAUUUACAAGAAUCCUGAAGAGGACUUGGCGGAGUAAUUGCUGAAUGUUAAUCUGCUUGAAUAUUUGCCUACACGCGAAACAAUAUCGUUCACAACGUCGCGCUUCAAGAGGAAGCUUUAGCUCGGGUGCUCCUAUCUAAAUACACGUAAAAGGAGAAUUCGUUUUUCUCGGUAACCACUGCACUAAAUUUGACGAGGUUUGUUGCAUUUAAAAGAAAAACUUAAAAUCUAGUGACUGUUGGUUUCGAAUUUUUUAUUUAGGUUGUGAUAUUUUAAUUGAAAAUUGGCAAAAAUGUAACAUUUGCAGAAAACGAAACUAUCAAGUUUACAACUUUGUAACUCAUCAUUGAAAAAUCAUAAUGCAAUUCUGUGAAAUGCAUCUAAUAGUACAUCUAAAGCGGACAAAACUGAUAUGUUACACAUGAACGUCAAGAAAAUGUAAUAACAUGUAAAUAAAGCUUUUGCACAACCCAUGUCUAAACAACGUAGCACAUUCACGUAAGAUGUAAAAUGACAUAUCGAAUUUGUCCGCUUUCAAUGAUCUAAUGGAUGCCGUUCACAGAACCGCGAUAUCUGGUCUUGAUGCAGAGCUAUGAAUUCUUAAACUUCGUGUUUCUAUUUCUUUUAAACUUUCGAAUUUUCGAAAAUUGCUUUUCACGAUAGUUUUCGUUAAAUGUCCAUACCUUCGUUUUCUUUAUUGUCUUCCGUAUGAUUUUCGUCCGAUGGCUCUUCAAUCCGGACCUGCCGUUGUUGUGCCUUCAAAAGUGGCACUUACCCAUUGUGGGGGAUGGGCCAAGAAUCGGGUAUAGUUGUACGUUCAGUAAAUAGCGAAUAAUAAAGCAGUCUAUAAAAAGGUGUGACUGCGAGCAAUAAGUUUCGUGUAAUCGAUCAGAGACCAGAUAAAUGGAUGGUGAAAUUUAAAAGGAGAGAUAAGAAGGCCGAUUGCAAAAUGCUGUAUUAGAGUAUAAUUUAGAAUACAUUUAUAGGCCCUGUUGUUAUUGCCGUUCUUCUUCAAUGUGUGUACAGCUGCUGUCUCCGGAUGAAGCAAAUUCUCUUCUCUUUUACUCUUCUCUUAAGGCGACACGAGCCACGUGUUGAGGCAACGACGACAACAGCAACAUAUCGAAUACGUUCGGGCUCCGCGCGGCGCCGUUUACGUUAUUCAGAUCGCGGUAGAAUCCUGCUUUCGACGAGCCAUGCCAGUGACAUAUUGUGUAUAUACAACGUUGUCCACAAACGGCCAGGAUCUGACAAACCGUAAAGUGGGGAAAAUGGUCAAACGUGAAUCUAGCAGUGGAGUAGCUGCACGCAUCUCAUAAACGACGCUAUCGCAUCCAAAACACUAUGUGUGUAAGAAAGCUGCAAACGUGACUAUAUCGGUGGAUUAACUGCACUACAGCACUCCAAUUCAAAAUGGAGUAACUGCGUUCCAGGAGGAUACACAUACACACUUUUGGGACAUGAAAACACAAUGUACGCAAAAUGUACCAACAUCUUUACUACGAGGCGCUCAUUUGAGGGAUCACCAGUAGUUUGUGCGCAGGCGCGAGUAAGAGCGGGCGAGAGAGAGAAAAUCUGGGGCUUUUGCUCCUUGAAUGUAUGUCUGCCUAGGCACCACGGAGGAGAUUUGUUAGCGCGUGUUGUAUGCGUUUGUCGCCUAGACAUGCCGGCAUUGCGGUGUGCGGUCGAGUUUGUUAACGCUCCGCCGCUGGCUGUUCACGCGAUGAGGCAGUGAGCGCGGACGCCACAUUUGGUGAUCGCUCUGUCUGAAGGGGCAAGGUUCUGACUGGUGUUGUAUAAGUCGCGGGUCGCUUUUUUCGUCGCGACGAUAGAUUGGAUUUUUUACGAGCACUGCUCCAGAGUAGGGCACAUGUAACCGGCAAGCGGAGGCCUCAGGAUAGCGCCUGAGGUUAUAGUAAAGCAGGCGGUGCAGGACACGGUGUGGACAGGCAAAAGUUCCACCGGUUUAAAAGGAAUUCGAAAAGCAUCAUUCCCUACUUCCACACCCUAUACCACCAGAUCAAAAAGCUAUAGCACAACAGGUGGCAGCUGGUGUUAUUUCUCACAGCUCUGAACAAGCUAGGACGGCUGUGCAGACGUGUAGACGCAGGAAAACGCCACCUCUGCGAAGAUGUGUGACGGUCACACCAGACAGUUUGUAGAGUGUUCAGUGGGCGUGGUUUACAAUGUGUCGUUGCCUUGUUCUCGUUGCUACGUGGAUAGACCGGGAGGUGUGCUUCUAAACGAGACUUGGUUAGCGGAAGUACAAUUUACGAUCAAGAGCGACAGCGUGAUGUCCAGGUAUGCGCUGCACGACGUGGCCAGGCGCUGUAUUUUAAAAACAGCGCAGUGCUUAAGCCCUUUAAGGACCUUUACGCGCGUUUGUUGUUUCAAGCGCACGAAAUUCUUUUAAAAGGCAAUAAUUGUCUUAGCGCACCGUCGAUUAGCCUAACCAGAAAAUAAGGCGCAUAUCUUAGAGGUUCUUAGAAUGCAUUAUAACUAUCAGAAUGUACCAGUGGCAUAUUGACAAGCAAAGUUUCUUUAUUUAUUUUUCUCUUGACCUUUUAUAAUAAUUUUAUUCCAUUUUUUACACACAUCCUGCACCACGCUCCUUUUCAUUAUAGAUAAUUUUACGGUUGCUUUUGUUGUCUUUUUUGUGUUUAGUACUUUACACGCGUUGUCUGUUAUUUUCCUUACGUGUUUUGUUUUCGUUGGUUUUGUUUUCUUGCUGCGUUAUCAUUAUUUUUCCCCUUUUAGUUUCAAAUAUAGUUUCCAGCGUGCCGGCAUGAUAGUUGCAAUUGGCGUUAGCUGCCCGCCGGACGUGACUCCUGCUUGUUUUAGUGCUUUAUAAACUCACAGCCUUAGUUGUUUUUGUGGAGGUUGGCUACUCUUUUUUUUUUUUUUUUUUGCUUCCCGACUGCUUUUUUGGAUAUAAAAGCGCUAGCAUUAAGAGCGAAAAAAAAAGAGUGUAUCUGUGUGAAGGUGUGAGAAACCGGUCACGUGGUAGAAGCAGAGAUGGGACGGGAGAGCAUAGAAAAGCGUGCAUAUGAGUGUGUAUAGCUGACACUAGGAAGGUAGCUGACGCUGAGCGCAGGCCACAGCUGGCAGGGGUCCUCUCUCUCUCUCGUUUGCGACACGGCCAUCGGCCCGUUCCGAGUGCCAUCGCCUCCCGGCCACAGUUUCGCGGCCACGCGCGCGAAAGGGCGCGAAAUGUGGAACCGCGGAAGUCGGUGGCACGCGGAAUUAGCGUCAGGCUAACCAGUGGCGUAUUGCUUCCAGUUCAUCUAGCUACGCUGAAGCAGGGACGUUCCCUUCGGUCCGCGGCGCGUAGCGGCCAAAGUACGCGGCCACUGUUCUUCCUUUUCCAUUCCUUGUACCACGCUGUGCUUUUGUCGCUCGACACGCGGACCAUGUUUGAAGAGUGCAUCUCCCACGGCUCGUGCGAUGACGCUUGUCAAAAUUUCAGGUACACACCCUAGGCCUCCGCUUCCAGCGCACUCCAGCAAUGCCCCUGCGUCCUGCCGUGUCCCAGACGGAUGACGUUCAUCGCCUGCCGUGCCGCGGCUGACCGUCUGUACACUUAUGCUCCAGCCACACAGCUACAGGUUUCCUGGCCAAUGACGACACCUGCGCGACCCGCCCUGCAGUACGUCGACUGCGCUUCCCCAGCCUUUGCCAUCAGUCACGUGCGGCGGAUUUUCCUGCGCCCUGACGCGUCCCAGACGAAUGACGUUCAUCGCCUGUUGUCCCACGGCUGACCGUCUGUGCACUUCUCCUGCAGCCAGACAGCUACUGGUUUCCUGGCCAAUGAAGAACCCUGCAGUACGUCGACUGCGCGCAGGUAAAUCAGAAUUCUUCCGACCCGUGCUGCGACGGUGUGCUGACGGCUAAUUAAGUUUAUUUUUUCGUUUUUUUUUUUUUUUUGUCGUUUCAGUCUGCAACCAUCGUCUUGACAUCCGCCGCCCUUGAAGAUUUGUCCCGCCUGCGUAGUAGGCCAUGACAUCCAGUGCUCAUCGUAGGGCGGCAAGCCUUGCUCACGAGACAGUUCUUCACAUUGCUACGCCCGCGGACGUUGAGCUGUAGGAAAAGUCCCUCUCUGCCAUUCUCUGUGCUGCCUCGAUGACGCUGCACAACUACGGAGUCGUGACGCGAACCCCGAUCACGACAUCCCUGUGAGAGUUCUUUCCGUCCGGUAGCUGUAUUAUGGCCGUUCGAUAAAGACUCGUAUUCAUAGCCCCUGACUGUUUGACGAGCAGACCAAAACAAUUCCAGGUAACAUGCUGGCUCAUCUGUGGUACACUGCUCAGUCAAUCUGUAGGUUGGCGCACGUUAAUUCCCAUCGUGUGCUCUCAUAAUGGUACGCUGAUGCUGGUUCGCAUUGUGUGUGUGUGUGUGUGUGUGUGUGUGUGUGUGUGUGUGUGUGUGUGUGUGUGUGUGUGUG